AACUGCCUGAUGGAGGGGGAUAACUACUGGAAACGGUAGCUAAUACCGCAUAACGUCGCAAGACCAAAGAGGGGGACCUUCGGGCCUCUUGCCAUCGGAUGUGCCCAGAUGGGAUUAGCUAGUAGGUGGGGUAAAGGCUCACCUAGGCGACGAUCCCUAGCUGGUCUGAGAGGAUGACCAGCCACACUGGAACUGAGACACGGUCCAGACUCCUACGGGAGGCAGCAGUGGGGAAUAUUGCACAAUGGGCGCAAGCCUGAUGCAGCCAUGCCGCGUGUAUGAAGAAGGCCUUCGGGUUGUAAAGUACUUUCAGCGGGGAGGAAGGGAGUAAAGUUAAUACCUUUGCUCAUUGACGUUACCCGCAGAAGAAGCACCGGCUAACUCCGUGCCAGCAGCCGCGGUAAUACGGAGGGUGCAAGCGUUAAUCGGAAUUACUGGGCGUAAAGCGCACGCAGGCGGUUUGUUAAGUCAGAUGUGAAAUCCCCGGGCUCAACCUGGGAACUGCAUCUGAUACUGGCAAGCUUGAGUCUCGUAGAGGGGGGUAGAAUUCCAGGUGUAGCGGUGAAAU
rnacentral:rRNA from 1 species